UUAAAAAGCUCGUAGUUGGAUUCUGUGGGGACGGACGGCCGGCCGCUACUAGCGGUUCGAGCUAGCGCUUUCCCUACAUCCUGCCGCGAACCGCGCUACCAUUAGUUUGGUGGCGCCGGGGAUCGGCUCGUUUACUUUGAGAAAAAUAGAGUGUUCAAAGCAGGCCACACGCCUUGAAUAAGUUAGCAUGGAAUAAUAACUAAGGACUUCGGUUCUAUUUUGUUGGUGUUCGGGACUGAAGUAAUGAUUGAUAGGGACAGUUGGGGCGGUCCGUAUUCCAAAGCGAGAGGUGAAAUUCUUAGACCUUCGGAAGACGAACAGCUGCGAAAGCGUUCCGCAAGGAUGUUCCCUUUGAUCAAGAACGAAAGUUGGGGGAUCGAAGACGAUCAGAUACCGUCGUAGUCUCAACUAUAAACUAUACCAGCUAGGGAUCGGC
rnacentral:rRNA from 1 species